UAAAGGAUUUUGAUAACCCUAAAAGUCUUGCACUUCCAUCGCAUUUUUUAAUUUUGCAAAAUGAAAACAACUUCGAAGGAAAAUCUUCGAGGGUUUGGUGCCGCCAUGGACGAAGAGUGCUGGGUUUUCAAUGGGCUUCUUUUCUAAAUGCAAAUCUUUUUCUCUACAGGAAUUUUUUGUGCAGGAAAGUAGGAGUUUUCAAAGUCUGAAGAUCGAGAAAACAUUCACAAGGGCAACGGGGCAGCUAGUAACCAGUCAAAGCAACCCAAGGCAAUGACUGGUUAUCCUCACACUCAUUUUUUAAUUCUAUCCUUUUUUGUUUUGGAUAUGUAGGAAAGAUAGGAAUGCUAAGCUCACGGCUUGUGUGAGGUUUUAAGAAACUCAGUGUAUAUAAAUAUGCUUCAGAUGCAUGAACUCAAUUUGUAAUCUAUCAUUGUUCAAUACAAAUGAAAAAUAUCCUCUUUUUCCUCUUUUUAAA